rnacentral:rRNA from 1 species
UAUGGCGACCGGCGCACGGGUGAGUAACACGUAUCCAACCUGCCGAUGACUCGGGGAUAGCCUUUCGAAAGAAAGAUUAAUACCCGAUGGCAUAGUUCUUCCGCAUGGUAGAACUAUUAAAGAAUUUCGGUCAUCGAUGGGGAUGCGUUCCAUUAGGUUGUUGGCGGGGUAACGGCCCACCAAGGCGACGAUCAGUAGCCGGACUGAGAGGUUGACCGGCCACAUUGGGACUGAGACACGGCCCAGACUCCUACGGGAGGCAGCAUG